UGUUGGGUUAAGGUCCGUAACGAGCGCAACCCUCGUCCUUAGUUACCAGCACGUUAUGGUGGGCGACUCUAAGGAGAACUGCCGGUGACAAACCGAGGAAGGUGGGGGAUGACGUCAAGUCAUCAUGGCCCUUACGGCCUGGGCUACACACGUGCUACAAUGGUCGGUACAAAGGGUUGCCAAGCCGCGAGGUGGAGCUAAUCCCAUAAAACCGAUCGUAGUCCGGAUCGCAGUCUGCAACUCGACUGCGUGAAGUCGGAAUCGCUAGUAAUCGUGAAUCAGAAUGUCACGGUGAAUACGUUCCCGGGCCUU
rnacentral:rRNA from 1 species